GUCCAGGCAGCCAUGGCCAGCAGCAGGAUUAACCCUAAUGAGGCUCGGAACCCCUUUGUCUCCUGGGUGACCAUGUCAACACACACGCCUCUGGAAUCCAGGGUUGUGUGUUCUGAAGGGUUUGGCUGGACACAAAGGGAGGAAGAGGGGCUUCAUGGCCCGUCUUUCUCUAGAACGUCUGAUCAAAGGCCCAAAAUGAAACCCCAGGAUCUCUUCUGAAGUCAUUCCACGUGUCUCCUAUACUCAAGGACUCCUUUGGCUUUUCUUCCUUUCUGCAAAAAUGGGAGGCCCUUUUGUUAGUGCAGAAAGGCCAGGAAGACCUUGCUCUACUGCGGCCACUUGUGACUUGAUUUCGGAAGGAAGUCUCUCUGCUUCCAACUGGUUGAACUUUGAAGCUUGUUUUUGACCAACACAGGAUUCCUCUUCAUGUGACAUGAUGAGCCUGAUCCUGAAUAGUUGGGUUGGAUCAAGGAAGAAAGGGUUCAGGUGCUGGAAAAAAGCCUCCUGUCUUUUAAACGGCCACCUAACAUCUUUCCAUAACACUUGGAUCAUAUUUCCACAUCUGGUGGUCAUGUACUGAAACAAGGAAAUAUUGGAAGAUGAUACACGCAGAGUCUCAAAAAAUAUUAAGGAAAAACUUCCCAAUGAAACCAGAAUACUACCUAUUAGGAUUGACAGAUUCGGAAGCAAACUGACUUAAACAAGAUAAACUAUUUAUGUAUAUUAGUACGGCAGCAAGGAUUAUUCAUGCAAAACAUUGGAAACUACAAGAUGUUCCAACUAAGGAAGAAUGGCAAGGAAAAAUUGAAGAUAUUAGAGACAUGGACGAACUAACGUUUCUCUUAAGAGCACACAGAGAACAUUCAAUAAACAAGACUGACUGGAAUUUA